CACUUAGGGAUCUGGGGCAAAAAUCAGUACAUGGUCCUGCUAGUGAAGGCAGGGGGCUGGACUUGAUGAACUUUUGGGGUUCCUUCCAGUUCUAUGAGAUAGGUAUAUCUCCAUAUAUUUAUGUGAUAUGAGGGUCACCAAGAGGAAUGGGAGUAGGAAGCAGGGACACUUUAUUCUAAGUCUAGGCUCCGGAUCUCACUGAGCCACCGGCCCCCUGUAUAACACAGUUCCUGUUGAUAGUGUAUGUUGGCCCUUAGCUCUCUUUCAGGGGUUUAGGUGGUGUAUAGCAUCAGUGGAUGCCCUAGUGCCCGCAGCAUGGUGGUUUUUGUAGCACAGAUGGAAUGAGGCAUUUUGGAUUUACCUCUCCAUUGCCUAAAUGAAGGAACAAUUUCCACCUCCAUCUUGAAUUGUACUGGGGCUAAGGUGCAUCAAAUCCAUUUCUGGCGGCUCAACUUAUAUAAGGUGCUCCAUGGUAUAAAGAUAAAACUCUGCUGAUUAGAAACUGGAUGAUCAUUCUACACUGCCUCCUGGAGGAUUUGACUGGAAGAUUUCACCAUAAUAAAGGAGCAGGAUGCCAUCACUUCAGCGUGACUAUUCCUGUAUGUAGUCUUCUAACUUGUAGAAUGUGGCUUUGCCUAAACACAUGAAUAAAACCUAACUUUCAAAAAA